GGGCUUCGCAGGCGGUUUUUUAAGUUCUGAAGGUUGAAAGCCCCCGGCUUCAACCGGGGAGGGUCAUUUGGAAACUGGGGAACUUUGAGUUGCAGAAGAGGAGAGUGGAAUUUCCACGUGUAGCGGUGAAAUUGCGUAGAGAUGUGGAGGAACACCAGUGGCGAAGGCGACUCUCUGGUCUGUAACUGACGCUGAGGAGCGAAAGCGUGGGGAGCGAACAGGAUUAGAUACCCUGGUAGUCCACGCCGUAAACGAUGAGUGCUAAGUGUUAGGGGGUUUCCGCCCCUUAGUGCUGCAGCUAACGCAUUAAGCACUCCGCCUGGGGAGUACGGUCGCAAGACUGAAACUCAAAGGAAUUGACGGGGGCCCGCACAAGCGGUGGAGCAUGUGGUUUAAUUCGAAGCAACGCGAAGAACCUUACCAGGUCUUGACAUCCUCUGACAAUCCUAGAGAUAGGACGUCCCCUUCGGGGGCAGAGUGACAGGUGGUGCAUGGUUGUCGUCAGCUCGUGUCGUGAGAUGUUGGGUUAAGUCCCGCAACGAGCGCAACCCUUGAUCUUAGUUGCCAGCAUUCAGUUGGGCACUCUAAGGUGACUGCCGGUGACAAACCGGAGGAAGGUGGGGAUGACGUCAAAUCAUCAUGCCCCUUAUGACCUGGGCUACACACGUGCUACAAUGGACAGAACAGAGGGCAGCGAAACCGCGAGGUUAAGCCAAUCCCACAAAUCUGUUCUCAGUUCGGAUCGCAGUCUGCAACUCGACUGCGUGAAGCUGGAAUCGCUAGUAAUCGCGGAU
rnacentral:rRNA from 1 species